UACGUAGGUGGCAAGCGUUGUCCGGAAUUAUUGGGCGUAAAGGGCUCGUAGGCGGUUUGUCGCGUCGGGAGUGAAAACUCAGGGCUUAACCCUGAGCCUGCUUCCGAUACGGGCAGACUAGAGGUAUGCAGGGGAGAACGGAAUUCCUGGUGUAGCGGUGAAAUGCGCAGAUAUCAGGAGGAACACCGGUGGCGAAGGCGGUUCUCUGGGCAUUACCUGACGCUGAGGAGCGAAAGUGUGGGGAGCGAACAGG
rnacentral:rRNA from 1 species